ACUACGGGUGGCUGCAGUGGGGAAUAUUGGACAAUGGGCGAAAGCCUGAUCCAGCCAUGCCGCGUGUGUGAAGAAGGCCUUCGGGUUGUAAAGCACUUUCAGUGGGGAAGAAAGCCUUGGGGCUAAUACCCUCGAGGAAGGACAUCACCCACAGAAGAAGCACCGGCUAACUCCGUGCACAGCAGCCGCGGUAAUACGGAGGGUGCGAGCGUUAAUCGGAAUAACUGGGCGUAAAGCGCGCGUAGGCGGUCUGAUAAGCCGGUUGUGAAAGCCCCGGGCUCAACCUGGGAACGGCAUCCGGAACUGUCAGGCUAGAGUGCAGGAGAGGAAGGUAGAAUUCCCGGUGUAGCGGUGAAAUGCGUAGAGAUCGGGAGGAAUACCAGUGGCGAAGGCGGCCUUCUGGACUGACACUGACGCUGAGGUGCGAAAGCGUGGGUAGCAAACAGGAUUAGAUACCCGGGUAGUC
rnacentral:rRNA from 1 species